UCCUAAAAUAAAUCAAUAUUGAUUUUUUUUAUAGAGCGUUAAAGUUUUGCGAAGACAGGGGGCGGGGCUACUUGAUUGACAGUCCGGUCUGGAAUGAUUGACAGGUCCUAUGGAGGAGACAGCUGAGACUCUGUUCUCCUCGUUUGGAUUAAUUCUGAUAUAAUAACUGUUGGUUUAUUUAUCGGUGCAUCAGCAGAACAUUUUCCACAGACAGUUUUCCUGCCCGUUGGCUUGUUUUAACCAGUUUUCUACCUUCGGCUGAUUCUACCAGCAGACACUGAAAGGACUCUGAUAGUUCGAGUGAAAGUAGCAGUUCCUCCUUAAGGUCAGAGAUUGCAGCAUCUGAGGGCCUCUUCAAAAGAAGAUGUAGUUGAUGAAGGCGUUCUGGAGCAGGACCAGAAAGACCACGACCAAGCAGCCUUGAGAUCUUAGGCAGCGUCUCCCUCAGGUCCCUCUCUAUCUCCCCACACAUCCACCAACCACUGGAACACAUCUCCAAAGUUCUGCCGGGCCAGCUCAGCUUCCCCUCAGAAGAAGUGCCGCCACCUGCCAGAUGAAGGAGCCUUUUGAGAGGCAGCUGACAUUGUGAUUGGACUGUACUUUGGUCUGUUCCAAUCCAGCUUCAGCUCCAGAGACGGCAGGCGGGACGAGUCAACGGAGGCCGGGUGGACGAAGGCAUGCAGCUGAGUACAAUCCAGAAAACAACAGAGGAGGAGUGCAAACAGAGUAGCAUGGUAUGUCUCUUAGAAAACAUCAUAGUAUAGCCUUUGGUAUGAAAAAA